GCCUUCAUAUUUUUCAUUUGUGUAAUGAUCUUUCUUCCGGAAUGGUAACCUGCGGAGGGAUCAUUACACAAAUGAAAAUAUGAAGGCCCUUCAAACCGGCUGGAUUAUUUUUCUUCACCCUUGUCUUUUGCGCACUUGUUGUUUCCUGGGCGGGUUCGCUCGCCACCAGGACCACACCAUAAACCUUUUUGUUAAUGCAAUCAGCGUCAGUAAAAAGUAAUAAUUAUUUUACAACUUUCAACAACGGAUCUCUUGGUUCUGGCAUCGAUGAAGAACGCAGCGAAAUGCGAUACGUAGUGUGAAUUGCAGAAUUCAGUGAAUCAUCGAAUCUUUGAACGCACAUUGCGCCCUUUGGUAUUCCAAAGGGCAUGCCUGUUCGAGCGUCAUUUGUACCCUCAAGCUUUGCUUGGUGUUGGGCGUUGUUUGUCUUUGGCCUUGCCCAAAGACUCGCCUUAAAACAAUUGGCAGCCGGCCUACUGGUUUCGCAGCGCAGCACAUUUUUGCGCUUGCAAUCAGCAAAAGAGGUUGGCCAUCCAUCAAGACUACAUUUAUACGUUGAC
rnacentral:rRNA from 1 species